UAUUAAUUUAUUUUUCUGGGCCUCAAUGUGCAGAGUAGGGUUAAAGGUCGCGAACUAGCAUGCGUCUACACCUGCCUGAGCAUAUUCCUGGCACAGGAGAAAGAGGACGACGGAACUCCGUGCUGGUUACUGAUCCGGCCCGGGACAUGCAAAGAUGGCCUAUGCGUGUGAUGAAGAGUGAUACGGCUAACAGAAGAGACAUGGCAACACGGCACAUCGACGCAGGCUGUGACGCAGUUCUUCCAGAACACAUAUCGUUUCCAGAAGUUCAUCAUGAAGCGCCUGGCAGCGUCAAUCAGUUUGGGCUCCUUUUAGUCAAUAAAUAUGUCAGCCUCUAUUGCA